rnacentral:lncRNA from 1 species
AUAAGAACAUUUAAAGAAAGAUGUAAAAUGAUGAAAAAAGUUUAUCUAGAAUUUAUUUUAUCUCCCUCUAAAAUAUUAUGCCUAUAAAUCAAAGGAGUUCUUCCCAUUUCUUCCAACAUUCCUCCCUCGUUCUCUCUCUUAUUAUCUUUUUCUCUUCUACCCUUUCUCCUCUCUCCCUUCCUCCACAUUUCUUACUUGCCAGGAACCAAUCUGGAGUAGAGAAAGAGAGUAAGAGGGUACAGUGAUUGAAUCAAGCUGAUUGAGCAUGUGUAGUGAUGGUGACAUCUCCAUGUUAAUAUGAAUAUCAUCAUCUUUUAGUCAUUAUAACUUAAGCCUCAAAGUACUUCAUUGAAAAUACUGAGGAUUUUAAACAAUCUGACAAAUAGAAAUGGAUCCAUGGACUAGAUUUUUGUCUCUCUCUCUCUCUUUUUUUUUUUUUUUUGAGAUGGAGUCUUACUCUUGUCACCCAGGCUGGAGUACAAUAGCACCAUCUCAGCUCACUACAGCCUCCACCUCCCGGGUUCAAGUGAUUCUCCUGCCUCAGCCUCCCGAGUAGCUGGGAUUACAGAUGCCUGCCACCACGCCUGGCUACUUUUUGUAUUUUUAGUAAAGACGGGGUUUCACCAUGUUGGCCAGGCUGGUCUCAAACUCCUAACCUCAGGUGAUCCGCCCUCCUCGGCCUCCCAGAGUGCUGGGAUUACAGGCGUGAGUCACCGCUCCUGUCAGAUUUUUGUCCCUCUUAAGCCACACAUCUCAACUAACCUUUUGAAAAGAGUUAGUCAGCCUUUGAUAAAAAUGCCAAAAUCAUUUGAAUUAAACUUCAAAUUAUACAGAUUUUUUAACUGCGGAAAACAUGGGGAUUGCUAAAUUACCAUUUUAGCCCAUAACUUCAGUCAUUGAAUGAACCUAAAAUAAAGCCAGAUGAACUAAUUCAUACUUUAAGCACAAAGAAAGCAAACGCAUUUUCAUUAAACUUUAGAAAUACUGCUGUAGUACUUCUGGCCAUGUAAAAUAAGAAAUUAUUUUUACACAUAAUGUGGACAACUGAAGAAUGACUUAACACCUUUAAAUUUUUCAAUCUAAAAAAGAAAUAAAAGAUUACCUGUUGUCCACAAGUUAGAAAGCUGAUAAUAUUCAUGUUAAACAUUCUAUUUAUCCUCCUUUUUAAAAUUGUGGGAUGGGGAAGUUGGAAAACGAUAAAUUAUUUAUGCUGUCAUAGGUUAUUAGAAUACAGCAUUUGGAACUGGUGAUUCUGAGUAUGAGGAAUAAGAUAUUACAUCACACUUGCCAGGAAGUGAUCAAAAGACUCUUAAGCUACAGAGGCUAUUGCCAUAUACCCUGCUUUUUAACAACUUAUACCUUUUUAAAAGUAAAUGUGUGUAUGUUUAUGUGUGUGUGUGGUUGUGUAUGCCAGAGAGUAAAUAAAAAGAACACAAAUGCUUAUUUUGAAAACAAUGUAUUAGAUAUGUUAAUUAUCCAAAGGAGCAUUUAUCCAAAAAAUAUUAUUUUAUGCCAGCUUUCUACCUAUGUAUGUACACGUCUAAAUAUUUUUAAAUUUCACCCAGAAAACUUUUAUUUGCCAUGAUUUUUUACUCAAACCUGUGAAGAACAAUCCUUUUUUUGUUAAACAGCUUAUUCUUUACAAUAAAGGACAUGACACCCUUACAAAUGAUGUUUGCAAAGUAUUUUCAAGCAAAAUUAAAGUAGUAUAACUCUAUCAUUAAGAUCUCAUGCAAGGCAGAUGGGUUCCACGUGGUAACAACGUAUUGCAGACUACCUUGACAUUGAUUUGAAUGGAACCUCAAGGAACCAGUAAAGAUUCCUGUGCUCUUCGUGCCUGUCUCUCACCUCUCCCAGGGCCUUGCUCCAUCAAUUAUUUGCACUCUGUCUUAUACAUUCUUCACUUCAACCCACAAAAACAUCAAGUCUCUCUUAUUCUAAAAAUUUCCAUUCUCUCCAGUUCUAUUCAACAUACUUCCUCAUAAUCUCUGCCAAACUUCUUAGAAAAUAUAGUGCAUUUUCAUUCAUCCUAUACCAGUCCUCAUUGAGAUAGAGAGUUCUAGCUGCCUAUCUUGUAUCCACACUCCUGUUCUUUGUACCUAACUGCUCCCUGAUCAAUGCCCACCUGAAAUAUUUUAUUUCCCAGUCUUUCUGACCACUGUUGAUCUUCAAUGGGUUCUAAGCAGAGGUUAGGUGGACUUUUUUAAAAAAGUGUC